rnacentral:misc_RNA from 1 species
ACAGUUAGGGCAAUUGGGCGUGGCUGUAAACAUGGCUUUAACAGUACCCAAUGCCAUGGAUACAAUUGAUUCUGCCCAGAAGAAUGCAAUUGUACAUGAUCAAGAGUUUUUACUGCAGGGAUCAGUAUUGGAUGCUUCACUAUUAGUGGUGAUUGAUAGACUAAGAGGACUGUGUGAUAAUGCUGAUAUCCAACCAGAAACAUUCCAUGAUCAUGAGAUUGUGUUUCUUCUGAAGGAUUUCUCUGGUAAUUUUCUUUUUUUUCCAAUAGUUAAUUUGAAGUUAUCCUGGAGUUUCAGUCUUUUCUUUUUU